UACGUAGGGAGCAAGCGUUGUCCGGAAUCAUUGGGCGUAAAGCGCGCGCAGGCGGACCGAUAAGUCAGAGGUGAAAUCUCCCGGCUCAACUGGGAGGGGCCCUUUGAUACUGUCGGUCUUGAGAUGCCUAGAGGAGAGUGGAAUUCCCGGUGUAGUGGUGGAAUGCGUAGAUAUCGGGAGGAACACCAGUGGCGAAAGCGGCUCUCUGGGGGCGAUCUGACGCUGAGGCGCGAAAGCGUGGGGAGCAAACCGG
rnacentral:rRNA from 1 species